rnacentral:rRNA from 1 species
AUUGAACGCUGGCGGCAGGCCUAACACAUGCAAGUCGAGCGGAUGAAGGGAGCUUGCUCCUGGAUUCAGCGGCGGACGGGUGAGUAAUGCCUAGGAAUCUGCCUGGUAGUGGGGGAUAACGUCCGGAAACGGGCGCUAAUACCGCAUACGUCCUGAGGGAGAAAGUGGGGGAUCUUCGGACCUCACGCUAUCAGAUGAGCCUAGGUCGGAUUAGCUAGUUGGUGGGGUAACGGCCUACCAAGGCGACGAUCCGUAACUGGUCUGAGAGGAUGAUCAGUCACACUGGAACUGAGACACGGUCCAGACUCCUACGGGAGGCAGCAGUGGGGAAUAUUGGACAAUGGGCGAAAGCCUGAUCCAGCCAUGCCGCGUGUGUGAAGAAGGUCUUCGGAUUGUAAAGCACUUUAAGUUGGGAGGAAGGGCGGUAAGUUAAUACCUUGCUGUUUUGACGUUACCAACAGAAUAAGCACCGGCUAACUUCGUG